GGCUGCCUCCGGGCAGGCCCGGACAUGUGUAGUCAGGCUCAUAACCUGAAGGCCGCAGGUUCAAAUCCUGCCCCCA
rnacentral:tRNA from 1 species